rnacentral:rRNA from 1 species
AACCUACCUUUUACAGAGGAAUAGCCUUUAGAAAUGAAGAUUAAUGCCUCAUGGUAUUGUAGACUGGCAUCAGUUUAUAAUUAAAGAUUUAUCGGUAAAAGAUGGCUAUGCGUCCUAUUAGUUAGUUGGUAAGGUAACGGCUUACCAAGACAGCGAUAGGUAGGGGUCCUGAGAGGGAGAUCCCCCACACUGGUACUGAGACACGGACCAGACUCCUACGGGAGGCAGCAGUGAGGAAUAUUGGACAAUGGAGGAGACUCUGAUCCAGCCAUGCCGCGUGUAGGAAGAAUGCCCUAUGGGUUGUAAACUACUUUUAUACAGGAAGAAACACUGGUAUGUAUACCAGCUUGACGGUACUGU